rnacentral:rRNA from 1 species
UACGAAGUAAAACGUUAAAGGAAUUAGGACGGGACCCGCACAAGCGGUGGAUGAUGUGGUUUAAUUCGAUGCAACGCGAAAAACCUUACCCACCUUUGACAUGUACGGAAUCCUUUAGAGAUAGAGGAGUGCUCGAAAGAGAGCCGUAACACAGGUGCUGCAUGGCUGUCGUCAGCUCGUGUCGUGAGAUGUUGGGUUAAGUCCCGCAACGAGCGCAACCCUUGUCAUUAGUUGCUACGAAAGGGGCACUCUAAUGAGACUGCCGGUGACAAACCGGAGGAAGGUGGGGAUGACGUCAAGUCCUCAUGGCCCUUAUAGGUGGGGCUACACACGUCAUACAAUGGCUGGUACAAAGGGUUGCCAACCCGCGAGGGGGAGCCAAUCCCAUAAAGCCAGUCGUAGUCCGGAUCGCAGUCUGCAACUCGACUGCGUGAAGUCGGAAUCGCUAGUAAUCGUGGAUCAGCAUGUCACGGUGAAUACGUUCCCGGGUCUU